rnacentral:RNase_P_RNA from 1 species
GGUCGCGCCCCAAAAGGGUGAGGAAAGUCCGGACUCCGCAGGGCAGGGGAUCCGGCCGUCAAGGCCGGAAGCGUGGUGGCAAACGCCACGUAUGGCAAGCGCAGCAGAAAGGAUACCGCCUCCUUCGGGAGGCAAGGGUGAAAUGGCGGUGCAAGAGACCACCGGGAUCGUCGCGAAAGCAGAUCCGCAAGGCAAGCCCUCCCCGGAGCAAGAUCAAAUAGGGGGAUGAACGGACGGCCCGUCCGGCUCGCGCCCUUCAUUGGGCGCGAUCAAUCCCCGGGUUGAUUGCUUAGAUGAAUGAUCGGAGUUCUCCUUCGGGAGGAUGAACAGAAUCCGGCUUAUUCGCCG